rfam:Schistosoma mansoni strain Puerto Rico chromosome W, complete genome
AUUCGGCUGACGAGUCCCAAAUAGGACGAAAUGUGCGUCCUGGAU